UUGACCUCGGAUCAGGUAGGGAUACCCGCGAGCUAA
rnacentral:rRNA from 1 species